rnacentral:rRNA from 1 species
GUGGGGAAUCUUGCGCAAUGGGCGAAAGCCUGACGCAGCCAUGCCGCGUGAAUGAUGAAGGUCUUAGGAUUGUAAAAUUCUCUCACCGGGGACGAUAAUGACGGUACCCGGAGAAGAAGCUCCGGCUAACUUCGUGCCAGCAGCCGCGGUAAUACGAAGGUCCCAAGCGUUGUUCGGAAUCACUGGGCGUAAAGGGAGCGUAGGCGGCGUGGUAAGUCAGAUGUGAAAUCCCGGGGCUCAACCCCGGAACUGCAUCCGAUACUGCCAUGCUUGAGGGUUGGAGAGGUAGCUGGAAUUCUCGGUGUAGCAGUGAAAUGCGUGGAUAUCGAGAGGAACACUCGUGGCGAAGGCGAGCUACUGGACAACAUCUGACGCUGAGGCUCGAAGGCCAGGGGAGCAAAAGGGAUUAGAAACCCCAGUAGUCC